GACGAACGCUGGCGGCGUGCUUAACACAUGCCAGUCGAACGGAGAGGCCCUGCUUUUGUGGGGUGCUCGAGUGGCGAACGGGUGAGUAACACGUGAGUAACCUGCCCUUGACUUUGGGAUAACUUCAGGAAACUGGGGCUAAUACCGGAUAGGAGCUCCUGCUGCAUGGUGGGGGUUGGAAAGUUUCGGCGGUUGGGGAUGGACUCGCGGCUUAUCAGCUUGUUGGUGGGGUAGUGGCUUACCAAGGCUUUGACGGGUAGCCGGCCUGAGCGGGUGACCGGCCACAUUGGGACUGAGAUGCGGCCCAGACUCCUACGGGAGGCAGCAGUGGGGAAUAUUGCACAAUGGGCGGAAGCCUGAUGCAGCAACGCCGCGUGCGGGAUGACGGCCUUCGGGUUGUAAACCGCUUUCGCCUGUGACGAAGCGUGAGUGACGGUAAUGGGUAAAGAAGCACCGGCUAACUACG
rnacentral:rRNA from 1 species